CCUACGGGAGGCAGCAGUAGGGAAUAUUGCUCAAUGGGGGAAACCCUGAAGCAGCAACGCCGCGUGGAGGAUGAAGGUUUUCGGAUUGUAAACCCCUUUUGUUAGAGAAGAUAAUGACGGAAUCUUACGACUAAGCACCUGCUAACUCCGUGCCAGCAGCCGAGGUAAUACGGAGGGUGCACGCGUUACCCGGAAUCACUGGGCGUAAAGGGCGCGUAGGCGGGAUAGCAAGUCAGAUGUGAAAUCCUAUGGCUUAACCAUAGAACUGCAUUUGAAACUGUUAUUCUAGAGUAUGGGAGAGGUAGGUGGAAUUCUUGGUGUAGGGGUAAAAUCCGUAGAGAUCAAGAGGAAUACUCAUUGCGAAGGCGACCUGCUAGAACAUAACUGACGCUGAUGCGCGAAAGCGUGGGGAGCAAACAGGAUUAGAUACCCGGGUAGUC
rnacentral:rRNA from 1 species